CAGGCAUGGUGGUGCACGCCUGUAAUACCAGCUACUCGGGAGGAUGAGGCACGAGAAUCACUUGAACCAGGGACGUGGAGGUUGCAGUGAACCAAGAUCACACCACUGCAUGACAGAACAAGACUGUCUCAAAAAGAAAAAAAAAAAGAUUACAAUAAGAAAUGGUCACUUGAUUAUUCAGAAAUACUUGCAUAGAGAGAACCCAAUUACUAUCUCCCAAGAAUGAAAACUAAUUUGUAAUCAGGCUCAAGUCUGGAGGCUGGAGGGUGGGGUACAGAUUUAUAAGAGGCUCUUUGGAGGAGAAAUAAGGCACAGGUAUCUCUGUUAGAAGAGCUCUUCUGUUUUUGUUGUUGUUGUUGUUGUUUGUUUGUUUUUGAAACAGAGUCUUGCUCUGUCACUCAGGCUGGAGUUCAGUGGUACAAUUAUCAGCCACUGCAGCCUUGAAAUCCUGGACUCAAGGGAUCCUCCCACCUCAGUCUCCCCAGUAACUAAGAGUAC
rnacentral:lncRNA from 10 species